AUCCAGUUGAAGAGUCCCAAAUAAGAUGAAAUGCACAUCCUGGAU
rnacentral:hammerhead_ribozyme from 1 species